ACUGGCAGGCUAGAGUCUUGUAGAGGGGGGUAGAAUUCCAGGUGUAGCGGUGAAAUGCGUAGAGAUCUGGAGGAAUACCGGUGGCGAAGGCGGCCCCCUGGACAAAGACUGACGCUCAGGUGCGAAAGCGUGGGGAGCAAACAGGAUUAGAUACCCUGGUAGUCCACGCCGUAAACGAUGUCGAUUUGGAGGUUGUGCCCUUGAGGCGUGGCUUCCGGAGCUAACGCGUUAAAUCGACCGCCUGGGGAGUACGGCCGCAAGGUUAAAACUCAAAUGAAUUGACGGGGGCCCGCACAAGCGGUGGAGCAUGUGGUUUAAUUCGAUGCAACGCGAAGAACCUUACCUGGUCUUGACAUCCACAGAACUUUCCAGAGAUGGAUUGGUGCCUUCGGGAACUGUGAGACAGGUGCUGCAUGGCUGUCGUCAGCUCGUGUUGUGAAAUGUUGGGUUAAGUCCCGCAACGAGCGCAACCCUUAUCCUUUGUUGCCAGCGGUUAGGCCGGGAACUCAAAGGAGA
rnacentral:rRNA from 1 species